CAGUCGCCACGGGAAUACGAAGGGGGCUAGCGUUGUUCGGAAUUACUGGGCGUAAAGCGCACGUAGGCGGAUAUUUAAGUCAGGGGUGAAAUCCCAGAGCUCAACUCUGGAACUGCCUUUGAUACUGGGUAUCUUGAGUAUGGAAGAGGUGAGUGGAAUUCCGAGUGUAGAGGUGAAAUUCGUAGAUAUUCGGAGGAACACCAGUGGCGAAGGCGGCUCACUGGUCCAUUACUGACGCUGAGGUGCGAAAGCGUGGGGAGCAAACAGGAUUAGAUACCCGGGUAGUCCCUGUCUCUUAUAC
rnacentral:rRNA from 1 species